GUGGGUAGUUUAACCUUUCGGGGAGGACGCUCACCACUUUGUGGUUCAUGACUGGGGUGAAGUCGUAACAAGGUAGCCCUAGGGGAACCUGGGGCUGGAUCACCUCCUUAUACGAAGAUAC
rnacentral:rRNA from 2 species